rnacentral:lncRNA from 1 species
AGGCCAGAUCCACGAUCAGCUGCAUGGCAGGGGCUUGCCCGCAGGACCGGAACCUUGGUACCUCACUCCGGAUUCUCUUAAAAUCGUAAUCUCUAGAAGAUGGAUUCAGCAAAUGCCAGGCGUGGAGCCAUGAAUGUUUCCAUAAGAAACGAGAAAAAUAGAAAGAAUGUGUGUUAGCCAGACGACACCUUGAUGGCACCCCUGCCACCUCCCCAGCCCUCCUCAGUGGCAAAGUGAUUUAGCUCAGUUGGGCUUCUCCAAAAUGGAAAUAGUCACUUGUUUGAGCAAAUAAAUGUAAUUAAAGUUGUUCCGGAAAAA